UACGUGGGGUGCAAGCGUUAAUCGGAAUUACUGGGCGUAAAGCGUGCGCAGGCGGUGAUGUAAGACAGGUGUGAAAUCCCCGGGCUUAACCUGGGAACUGCAUUUGUGACUGCAUCGCUGGAGUGCGGCAGAGGGGGAUGGAAUUCCGCGUGUAGCAGUGAAAUUCGUAGAUAUUGGGUGGAACACCGGUGGCGAAAGCGGCUCUCUGGUCCGGACCUGACGCUGAGGCGCGAAAGCGUGGGGAGCAAACAGG
rnacentral:rRNA from 1 species